UACGGAGGGGGCGAGCGUUAUUCGGAAUUAUUGGGCGUAAAGGGCGCGUAGGCGGCCUGAUAAGUCAAAGGUGAAAUCCCUCGGCUCAACUGAGGAAUUGCCUUUGAAACUGUCAGGCUUGAGGCCGGGAGGGGGUGGCGGAAUUCCCAGUGUAGCGGUGAAAUGCGUAGAUAUUGGGAGGAACACCAGUGGCGAAGGCGGCCACCUGGACCGGUUCUGACGCUGGUGCGCGAAAGCGUGGGGAGCAAACAGG
rnacentral:rRNA from 1 species